UACAGAGGGGGCAAGCGUUAUUCGGAAUUAUUGGGCGUAAAGGGCGCGUAGGCGGCUUGGCAAGUGGAUGGUGAAAUCCCUCGGCUUAACCGAGGAACUGCCGUCCAAACUGCUUCGCUUGAGACCGGGAGAGGUGAGUGGAAUUCCCAGUGUAGCGGUGAAAUGCGUAGAUAUUGGGAGGAACACCAGUGGCGAAGGCGGCUCACUGGACCGGUACUGACGCUGAGGCGCGAAAGCGUGGGGAGCAACGGG
rnacentral:rRNA from 1 species